rnacentral:rRNA from 1 species
UACGGAGGAUGCAAGUGUUAUCCGGAUUCAUUGGGUUUAAAGGGUGCGUAGGCGGAGUACUAAGUCAGCGAUGAAAUCCUGCAGCUUAACUGUAGAACUGUCAUUGAUACUGGUAUUCUUGAAUGCAGUUGAGGUAGGCGGAAUGUGUAAUGUAGCGGUGAAAUGCUUAGAUAUUACACAGAACACCGAUUGCGAAGGCAGCUUACUAAACUGUGAUUGACGCUGAGGCACGAAAGCGUGGGGAGCAAACAGGAUUAGAUACCCUGGUAGUCCACGCCGUAAACUAUGAUUACUCGCUGUUGGCGAUAUAUUGUCAGCGGCUGAGCGAAAGCAUUAAGUAAUCCACCUGGGGAGUACGAUCGCAAGGUUGAA